rnacentral:rRNA from 1 species
UACGAAGGGUGCAAGCGUUACUCGGAAUUACUGGGCGUAAAGCGUGCGUAGGCGGUUCGUUAAGUCCGUUGUGAAAUCCCAUGGCUCAACCAUGGAACUGCUCGGUAUACUGCGAAUCUUGAGCCACUUAGGGGCUACCGGAACAAAUGGUGGAGCGGUGAAAUGCGUAGAUAUCAUUUGGAACGCCAAUGGUGAAAACAGGUAGCUGGGAGUGUGCUGACACUGAGACACGAAAGCCAGGGGAGCGAACGGG